rnacentral:lncRNA from 1 species
UUUUUAAAAAUGCAAUGAUUUGCUGUAUUGACAGGACUAGCCUGACAGGUUUAAAUCAGCUAGGAUACGUGCCCUGCAUCUAUUUCCCUUCUAAAUCCCUAAAGAUCAGGGGCAAUGUUGACCUGCAAUUAUAUCCUAAGAUUGUGCUGCUCAAGAUUCCAUUUGUGUGUGGGAAAGUAGUGGUUCAGCAACACCAGGCGGCUCUAUGAUGCUAAAACAGCAACGCAACACUCAUUAAGAACCCAGGUUUCGUCUUAUAAAACCCUUGCGGUACAAGGACUCGCAUUCAAAGCUCACGUUCCUUAAAGUUGACGCAUACCAGGCUUUCUGCGAUUUGCCCUCUCAAAGUUUCUAGUUUGCAGAAUGGAAUUACUUUGAAAGUCCCCUCUUCUAGACUCCCCAGGAGGCUUGGAGACAGGGGGGAAAGGAGACGCACGACGGUCAUCGUUCAAACAAAAAUUUAAAACCUAUAAACCAAUCACUUCUUUUUCGGAGAAGAAAAGAAGCGUUCACCCAUCCGCCACCCGGCCGGGCGAGCAUCCGAUUUCCAUCUGGAGAAAAAAAAUAUAUUAAAAAGCCAGACAUACAUUUCCCUUCCCAACAAAAGUGGCCUCUAAACUCCCUUGCCAAGGACACUGGGAGGAAGCAGAAAAGCCACGAACAAGCCCGUACUUUUUGGUCCGAGGCGCGUGUGUGCCUCGGAGAGAAGGCGCAAAGGGUGACACACCGGGGAAAAGUUGGUACCCAAAAAAGGAAGGCAAUGUCUAUGGUCAUUUGCACAAAGGGCUGCCUCUGA